rnacentral:rRNA from 1 species
CGGGACGGGUGAGUAAUGUCUAGGGAAACUGCCUGAUGGGAGGGGAUAACUACUGGAAACGGUAGCUAAUACCGCAUAACGUCGCAAGACCAAAGAGGGGGACCUUAGGGCCUCUUGCCAUCGGAUGUGCCCAGAUGGGAUUAGCUAGUAGGUGGGGUAACGGCUCACCUAGGCGACGAUCCCUAGCUGGUCUGAGAGGAUGACCAGCCACACUGGAACUGAGACACGGUCCAG